CGCAGAAGUUUUUGCCGGUUGGCGACGAACCGGCUACAAUUUUAUAAGUUCUGGUCGUAGCUGUUGUAGUGAGAUGAUAGUAUUGUGGGAACUUAAUCAUACGACAAGGAGACAUGACGCGACGGUAGCUAAAGAAACUGACAGUAAUUAAGAGUAAGAAGAAUGAUCCAAAAAGUCUUAAGACCAAACAACAGCGCUCCAUGACGAUAAAUACCUACAUUUUUAAAUCGCAGCAUACGUUAGUGAUUUAACUCGCUCCGAAAAUGUUUACGGAGGCUUACAGCUAGUUGGGAAGUGAAGUGCUGAGAGAUUACGUUUGGAACUGUCGAAAAACACGUGUUCGUCAGCACAGCACUGAGAACUGGCUCCGAGGAACUUCCUCUAAACUGGAGCUGUCUCGUCCGUCAUGUUAUGCGGGAGAGCAGCCUUACAAUUGAAGCUGAGAAAAAGUCCAAGUACGUUGCAACUGUGCGGCUGCUCUUGUGCAUGCAUUGUAAUCCUCGGGCGCCACCGGCUUCCUAAACUGCUGCCCGAAUCUCGUCAGUCCGCACCUUGAGGUGACCGUCGGCUGGAGUCACUGCUGCUACUGCUCGGAUCAGUCCUGCCUGGUAGCAGCCAUCAUCUUCCAUCACACGUGUGCAGUCUCGUCGGCCACGCACCUCCUCGUAAUAUUCACAAAAUCAUUCCAGAUUAUCGUUUAUACGCAAGAAGAGGAGACGGAAUUAUCUUAAUGACAGGAGUGGCUUCAAAAAUUUCAACAUUGGAUCAUCUACUCUUUAGAAAGAUUUUCAGUGUUUUGUUUUAAAACAGCUGAUAUGUCCAGCUCAGUUCCACUUGGAUCACUUACUUCCUGGUCCUCUCCUGUCUUCAGCAAAAGCAGAAGGUGCUAGAAAGUCAUCGUGCAGCAGUGUGAGGUGGCCAUCCGACACACUUAUGUACAUUAUCACACGUAUACGUCUCGGAGUCUGCAGUGAUCUGUGUUGCACCUUGGAGUUCCUUCUGCGUUGAAGUUUCACGGUAUUGGGCUUCUGAAGAAUGGGACGCACUGAAGAAUACUGAUCGAUUACUGUGAGGUAAGAUUGACUUCAGAGUGAGAUUCCAAUCAACGAAUUUCAACUCCACUGUCAAUAAAUUUGACAGAAACCCUUGCAAGUCACGACAGUCAGUUUCAAGCCCGUAAGCAGUAUGGAAGUAGUAGUUUGGUAGAAGAGGGCAUAAUAUAAUUAUUGCAAGAAACUAGAUACUCGAGACUACAAGGUACCCGCACCUUGCAAGCACUGACCACAUUAAGUGCUGCAGGGGCAUUGCGUGGCGACACGAGACUGCCACCCGACGUGCUUAUGACAUCACAAGUGUAUGUCUCGGAAUCUGCAGUGCCGUGUUUUGCACCAUUGGGUUAGUCAGUGGGAAGUCCUGUGGUGUUGGGCUUCCCAAGAAUGUAGAGCUUCUCUGAGACAUUGUGAAACACAGAAGCAGCGAGUAAUGUUAAUCAGACUUUGAAUAGCAAGCACAUAUCUGGGAAUUGUGAAAGGAUUUGUUGGAUUUGUUGCUUGUGAGAAAUGUAUUCCUCUGUACUUAUCCCAACAGUAAUUGACUACUUCAACUGAUUGGAAAUAACAGACAACCAUUUGCGAAAUAUAGGUUUAUUACAUCUUGACCAUAGUUUUGACAACUUUAAAACUGUCCUCUUCAGGAGAUAUUGUACCUAUUAACAAAUAUUACAACAGUAUGUGUAGAACAGUUGUGGUAUCAUUAUGAUAAAAAAGAUUACAGGAAAUGUUUACAAAUAAUUUUAGUGAAGCAUACUCAUGUAGAAUCGUAUAUUAUCUAUAACCAAUGUGGGAACUGUUAACUUUGUGUAGCACGUGUGUGUCCUUCUCUUA